rnacentral:tRNA from 1 species
GCGACCGGUGGCGCGGCGUGGGCGCAGGAGGUCGUCGAGGUCUCCCGGGCGGGGUUCGAGACCGUGUCGGUCGUG